rnacentral:rRNA from 2 species
UAAGCGGAGGAAAAGAAACUAACAAGGAUUCCCCUAGUAACUGCGAGUGAAGCGGGAAGAGCUCAAAUUUAAAAUCUGGCAGUGUAACAGCUGUCCGAGUUGUAAUUUCAAGAAGUGUUUUCUGUGCCAGACCGUGUACAAGUCUCCUGGAAUGGGGCGUCAUAGAGGGUGAGAAUCCCGUCUUUGACACGGAUUUCAAAUGGUGCUCUGUGAUACACUCUCUAAGAGUCGAGUUGUUUGGGAAUGCAGCUCAAAAUGGGUGGUGAACUCCAUCUAAAGCUAAAUAUUGGCAAGAGACCGAUAGCGAACAAGUACCGUGAGGGAAAGAUGAAAAGCACUUUGGAAAGAGAGUGAAACAGUACGUGAAAUUGCUGAAAGGGAAACGCUUGAAGUCAGUCUCAUUGGCUAGAAUUCAACCCUUGACUUUAUUGUUUGUGGGUGUAUUUUCUUAGUUCAGUGGGCCAGCAUCACUUUUGGCCGCUGGAAAAGGGCGGGAGAAAUGUGGCACUCUUUCACGAGGGUGUGUUAUAGUCUCCUGUCAUAUACAGUGGGUUUCAGGAGUGAGGAAUGCCUUUAUUGCAGGAUGCUGGCGUAAUGGCUUUAAUCGACCCGUCUUGA